CAGCAGCCACGGUAAUACGAAGGGUGCAAGCGUUAAUCGGAAUUACUGGGCGUAAAGCGCACGCAGGCGGUCUGACAAGUCAGAUGUGAAAUCCCCGGGCUUAACCUGGGAACUGCAUUUGAAACUGUCAGGCUGGAGUCUUGUAGAGGGGGGUAGAAUUCCAGGUGUAGCGGUGAAAUGCGUAGAGAUCUGGAGGAAUACCGGUGGCGAAGGCGGCCCCCUGGACAAAGACUGACGCUCAGGUGCGAAAGCGUGGGGAGCAAACAGGAUUAGAUACCCCAGUAGUCCCUGUCUCUUAUAC
rnacentral:rRNA from 1 species